rnacentral:rRNA from 1 species
GAACCAGUACCGUGAGGGAAAGGCGAAAAGAACCCCUGUGAGGGGAGUGAAAUAGAACCUGAAACCGUGUACGUACAAGCAGUAGGAGCCUACUUGUUAGGUGACUGCGUACCUUUUGUAUAAUGGGUCAGCGACUUAUAUUUUGUAGCGAGGUUAACCGAUUAGGGUAGCCGUAGGGAAACCGAGUCUUAACUGGGCGAAUAGUUGCAAGGUAUAGACCCGAAACCCGGUGAUCUAGCCAUGGGCAGGUUGAAGGUUGAGUAACAUCAACUGGAGGACCGAACCCACUAACGUUGAAAAGUUAGGGGAUGACCUGUGGCUAGGAGUGAAAGGCUAAUCAAACCGGGAGAUAGCUGGUUCUCCCCGAAAUCUAUUUAGGUAGAGCCUCGGACGAAUACUUACGGGGGUAGAGCACUGUUAAGGCUAGGGGGUCAUCCCGACUUACCAACCCUUUGCAAACUCCGAAUACCGUAAAGUACUAUCCGGGAGACACACGGCGGGUGCUAACGUCCGUCG